rnacentral:rRNA from 1 species
AAAUUGAAGAGUUUGAUCAUGGCUCAGAUUGAACGCUGGCGGCAGGCCUAACACAUGCAAGUCGAACGGUAACAGGAAGCAGCUUGCUGUUUCGCUGACGAGUGGCGGACGGGUGA